GCCUUUCAACCUCAUGGGAUUUGUAUUUGGGCUUCUUUUCUGCAGGCUUUUACCCUGUGGUUCUCACUGGAACUCAUGUAUGUCAUUGGGGCUUUUAUUUUCACCCAACUUCCUCCUGGGCUUUUACAUCUGUGGCUGGGAAUGGCUAACUGCAUAAUCUCAGAAGUGAGUGACUCUGCAUUUGUUCCCAGACCAAAAUGAAGUCUUCAGCUACUGCAAAGGACUCCCCAAAACGUCCUUGAGAUUGUGCUCAAUGAUGCAAGGGCUGUUCUGAGCCCUCACAGAGAAAACACAACUACAAAAAGGCUGUGGCGAGUAACGAAGAGUGAAAUCAAUCCAGACCCCCCUAUAAGAUGUGGGUUCUUCAGAGAGAAAUAAAAACCUGUUGGGUUGCUUGUCCUUA